UGCCGGUAUGGGUGUGAUGAUAAUUUCAGCACUCCCUCAUUUGGCCAGCUACCACACAGUGGAGUAGAAAGUGAGUGAUUAAGAUAGAGUGAUUGAAAUUCAUAUACAAGAUAAAAAGAAAAUAAGCAGUUGGACCAGCAAACAAAGACUUCUGGAAAGAAAAGUGACUAGUGAAUUAAGACUAGUAAAAUCUAAGUUUAAUUUUAAUUGGAGCCAACAACUCUGGAAGAUUGAAGAAAGCCGUAAAUAACGAAAGUUGGGGUGCCAGGGGUAGCGGAGUGGGCGUGAAACUAAGAUGACCUGAAACCGAUCAUCAACCAAUAAUUUGGGGGUAUCGAAUACUGGCCGCGGAUACCUAAAGUCUUGUUUUCUACUUGGACGAUUUAAGGUGCGAGACGUGUAGUCCGACAUCAUUGUUCCAAAAUUUUUGUAAGUUUUAUCCUACCAUUUCAUGUCUUCUAGCAAGGUCCUUUGAGACUGUCUAGGAUUGCGGGGAUAGCAGGGGAAAACUUUGUAACGUAAAUCGUUUGUGUUUCUAGUAGUUUUCCUAUCCUAUUAUGGUCACAUCAGGGUAAGUUUAUUCUGUCCGUCUGAUGUCUUUCUUCACAGCGAUAUCUUUAGUAGGGUCGUACCAUGUCGCUCAUAAGCUACCUGAAGCACCCCGUAUGUUUUUGGAAAACCGAAACUAACUUUUCAUCAGUAAGUGAGGAAAUCGCUUAAAUCUUCUUGUUUGAUUAUUAUUAUUUUGAUUACAUAUUUUUUUGAUAUAUUUUUUGUGUACAUUGGUGAGAUACUUUUCAAAAAGUUAUUUUCUUAUUCUUUUUGUGUUUGAUUUUUUUUGUUAUUUAUUUCUAUUUACAUUUCAUUACAAAAUUAUUGGAACUUUAUAUUUUUUCUUAAAUUUUUUCUUUUGUUUUCUUAGGUUGUUAAGUUUGUUUUCGAUAAGUUUUCUUAAUUUAUUGAGUUAAUUUGUUUUCAUUAUAGAAGUCU